UCUCUGCUUCAUGUGUUAAAGCUGCAUUCUCUCUCCUGACCACAAGGGGGUGACUCCUCUGGUUGUAUAGAAGUCUAUGCUUCAUGUGUUAAAGCUGCAUUCUCUCUACUGACCACCAGGGGGCGACUCCUCUGGUUGUAUAGAAGUCUAUGCUUCAUGUGUUAAAGCUGCAUUCUCUCUCCUGACCACCAGGGGGCGACUCCUCUGGUUGUAUAGAAGUCUAUGCUUCAUGUGUUAAAGCUGCAUUCUCUCUCCUGACCACAAGGGGGCGACUCCUCUGGUUGUAUAGAAGUCUGUUUAUAUAGUCUCUUGAUUUAGGAGGAGGAGGAGGAGUAUGGUCUAUAAAUGUUAGGAGGACAACAACACAACGGGUCGAGGAGUCGAGUGAAGACGGAUCGAUUCCUCCGGGACGUGAAUCACUUCCUCCUUAGCGGCCUCGCGGUGAAGCAGGUCAUGGAGGAGGCGGUGACCAAGAAGUUUGUCCACGAAGACAGCAGCCACAUCGUUGCUCUGUGCACCGCCAUCGAGGCCUGCCUCGGCCACCUGCUGAAGCGGCGUGCGGCCGGCUUCCUGCGCAGCGACAAGAUCGCCGCCCUGUUCACCAAAGUGGGCAAAGUGUGCGACACGGCCGGAGACGUGUGCCGCAAGGUGCAGGAGCAGCUGCAGCAGCAGGCGGAGCUCAGGAGGACCCAGAGCGCCGGCCCCGAGCCUCUGAGGAGGCAGGGCUCCUCCACCAGCAGCCGGCCCCCUCAGCCGCUCUCCCCCCAGGCCAUCAAACACAUCUGGGUCCGGACGGCUCUCUUCGAGAAGGUCCUGGACCAGCUGGUGCAGUACAUCGUGGACAACUCCAGCAAAUACUACGAGAGGGAAGCUCUGAUGCAUGACACGGUGUUUGGCCCCAUCUUGGCUACCCUGCUGGUGGGGCCCUGUGCUCUGGAAUACACCAAACUGAAGACGUCGGAUCACUUCUGGACCGACCCCUCGGCCAACGAGCUCGUUCAGCGCCACCGGAUCCACGGCGCCCACCGGGGCCAAGACACCUCGGCCGGCCGGCGGCCCGCUCUCGGGAUCCGUAAGAGGCAGUCGAGCGGCAGCAUGUCGGAGGACCGCUUCGCCGCGUCGGCGCGGGAGUACGUGGAGUCUCUCCACCAGAACUCCAGGACGCACCUCCUGUACGGGAAGAACAACGUGCGGGUGCAGCCGAAGAAGGACAUGGAGGUGUUGCGCGGCUACCUGUCGCUCCACCAGGCCGGUGAUAACCUGACCCUGAAGUGGACGCCCAACCAGCUCAUCAACGGCACGCUGGGCAACUGCGACCUGGAGAAGAGUAUCUACUGGGACUACGCUCUGACUGUGCCUCUGCACCAGAUCGUCUGCAUCCACUGUCACCAACGCCCUGAUUGUGGCGGCACGUUGGUUCUGGUCAGUCAGGAUGGAAUCCAGCGGCCGCCUCUCCACUUCCCCCCCGGUGGUCACCUGCUGGCUUUCCUCUCCUGCCUGGAAACGGGCCUUUUACCGCGGGGUCAGCUGGAGCCCCCCCUGUGGUCCCAGAAAGGCAAGGGAAAAGUGUUCCCUAAACUGAAGAAGAGGAGCAGCAACGCCCGCCUCCUUGACCAGGACGGGAACGGCGAGGAGCAGACGGCCGCCGACUACGUGUUCCGCAUCGUGUACCCCGGGUACCGCCAGGACGCCAACCACGGGGACAUGAUGGAGAUGCAGGGUUUCGGAGGCGGCCCGUCGCCGUGGCGACAGGCCGAGGCGGCCACCCAGGAGCCGCCGUGCCCGUCCUGCUCCACGGUCGGCGCCGGCGCCGCGGCGUUCGGCUUCGCGGCGUUCGGCUGCACCUGCAACCACAACGGAGCCGACAUCCACACAAUUCCUCUUAAGAUGCUCUGCCAGAACAUGAAGAGGCAGAUCGUCUCCAGAGCCUUUUAUGGAUGGCUGGCCUACUGCCGUCACCUGUCCACCGUGCGGACUCACCUGUCGGCGCUGGUCAACCACAGCAUUGUGCCCCCGGAGGCGGCCGGGGGCCUCAGCAAGGAGGUGUGGAGCAAGUACCAGAAAGACUGCAAGAACUACAAGGAGCUGGAGCUGCUGAGGCUGGUUUAUUACGGCGGCGUGCAGCACGACAUCAGGAAGGAGGUGUGGCCUUUCCUGCUGGGCCACUACAAGUUUGGCAUGGGCAAGAAGGACAUGAGCCAGAUUGACGCGAAGAUCAGCGAGCGCUACCAGCAGGUGAAGCGUGAGUGGAAGGCCUGCGAGGUGAUCGUCAAGCAGAGGGAGAAGGAGAUGCAGUCGGCCAUCUUCGCCAAGCUCUCGUCGGGCAGCAGCAUCGACAGCCACGUCCUGCGACUCGUCCACAGAGACUCCACGCUCAGCAACGAGGUGUUCAUGUCUGUGGACGAGCCGGACGCAGGCAGCCAGGAGACCCCCAGCGGAGAGGACGGCACCCCCACCAUGACCGCCCUGGUGGCCCCCGCCGCCCAGCCCCCGGAGGAGCGCCCUCUGGUGGAGUUCGACUCCCCCGACUCGGGCCUCCCCUCCUCCAGGAACUACUCGGUGACCUCCGCCCAUUCCCAGAUCCUGUCCAGCAUCGACGACGGUCAGAGCACGGAGGAGGAGGGGGUCGGCGGGGAGGAGGGCCGGACCCCGGGCCUGCUGCCGGGGGGCUGCGUGGGUCCUCUGACGGAGGACCGGCUGUGCAGCCAGCUGGACAAACUGCUGACCGGCGGAGCGGCGGCAGGGACCGUGUCGCCGUCGCUCUCCUCGUAUACGAUCGAGCUGCUGGACACGGUCGCCCUGAACCUGCACCGGAUAGACAAAGACGUGCAGCGCUGCGACCGCAACUACUACUACUUCACCCCGGCCAACCUGGAGAAACUACGCAACAUCAUGUGCAGCUAUGUGUGGGAGCAUCUAGAGGUCGGCUACGUUCAGGGGAUGUGUGACCUGCUGGCGCCGCUCAUGGUCAUCCUGGACGAUGAGUGCCUGGCCUUCAGCUGCUUCACUCAGCUGAUGAAGAGGAUGACUCAGAACUUCCCCAACGGAGGAGCCAUGGACACUCACUUCGCCAACAUGAGGUCCCUGAUCCAGAUCCUGGACUCGGAGCUGUUCGAGCUCAUGCAGCAGAACGGAGACUACACUCACUUCUACUUCUGCUACCGCUGGUUCCUGCUGGACUUCAAGAGGGAGCUCCUGUACGAGGACGUGUUUGCGGUGUGGGAGGUGAUCUGGGUCUCUUCCAGGAUCUCCUCGCAGCACUUCGUCCUCUUCCUGGCUCUGGCCCUCGUCACAGUUUACCGUGAGAUCAUCGUGGACAACAACAUGGACUUCACGGACAUCAUCAAGUUCUUCAACGAGAUGGCCGAGCGGCACGACGUGCAGCACAUCCUGAAGGUCGCGCGUGAGCUGGUGCACAAAGUCCAGUCUCUGAUGGACAACAAGUGACUCUAGAGGAGGAGGAGGAGGAGGAGGAAGAGGAGGAGGAGGAGGAGGAGGUCUCUCCCUAUCAUCCCUUCAGAAAGAUCAAGAGUGUUCCUAGGCCUCCACCUCAGCCUAGACUCCUCCCAGCCCAGCUCGAGGUGCUUCGGUUGCUUCUCUCCGUGAGGUUUCCUUCACGGGGGGUUGAAUGGCGGGCCGCGUUUCCUGAGCGGUCGGCGGCCGGCGUGCGUUUGACGCUCGUUCCGUAGGCGGCCAGAAAGAAACGUGGACAUCGGCGUUCCUCCUUCAGGGGUCAGACACAUGGUGACCAAUAGAUUUACAGGACUUUAAUCCAAAUGUCCAUGAUCUCUUUUUAGUUGAGGUGCGUUCACUUGCAGCACGGAAAAUCUGCAAGUAUGAAGAGCGUCAUUUCUUUCAAACGGACAAAAAUUGCCAAACUUGACGCUUUAAAACAUCAGUCCACAAACUAUUCCUUAUUUACCGACUAUAUGAAAAGACAUUAGCCGGGGCACACACACACACACACACACACACACACACACACACACUAAUUGAUGUGUUGUUGAUAGAUCUAAGCGUUACCAGCCUCAUCCAUGUUUUCCUUAAAGAGUCCAACGCACGUUCAGGAAACAGCCGCCGCAGCCGCCUGUGAACGCGGCGCUCUGAUUGGUUGAAGCAACGCGCCCCGAGCAGAAGCUUUCUCUUAAUGCCAAACGCUCUCCAGUGUUCAGCGAGUCAGUAUUUACACCAGUGUUUUUUGUUUUUUAUACGUCCCAUGUGACCCUUUGACCUCCGAUCUUACUCGUCUCCUUCGAAAAGAAUAAAAAAGUCCCGACACGGCUGCAUACGAUUGGUCAUCCAGCACCGACCUGUGAUCCAAGUGCCAAGAGUCUUCCCCCAACCAAUGAAAGUGUACUGUAGUCAUCCGGCUCUCCGAUUCGCUCGUUGGAUCCUGGGGGGUGUAGAGGGGGGCGUGGCCUCACCUCACCUUGCAGCCUCACUUUGAGAGCUUUCUCUUCCAAUCAGGACGUCGUAUAACCAAAGCCUUGACGACAGCCCCCUUUCUGUGGCAUGACGACACAAUUGUGCAAUUUAAUAGCGCAUCUUGAAGACUGUUUACUACGUGUGUGUGAAAUAUUUUUGGAAGAAACAAAAAAAAACGCUGAUCUUUGGAUUCUUUGACUAUAACUGUGCAAUUUAUUGUCGUUUUGAGGAAAAAUUAAAGAAAAGUCUAUAUAUUGCUGUAAAUACGAAAAAACCGAAAGCCCAAUAUUUAUAUGAAGACAGUCGGAACAUAAAUAUAUAUAUGAAUAUAUAUACAACUUAUUUUAAGAUCUAUUUUUUAUGUUGGUGGUAGCAGCCUGUGUUACACGUCGACUGUUACGUGUUUCCUUCUCAAUGUUGUGCACUGACUUCAAAAACCUUUCAAAUUUGUAUUUAUUAAGAGAGACGACGAUCGCAUUGCUGACGACGUAUUGGUAAAGGAUGUUUCUUUUUGCCUUGAAUGUAAUGUAUUAUUAAAGAAGAGGUUGUUCAUUA